UCGAAUGUGGUGUAGGUGCACAUCGGCUCUUUAUUCGCAUGAACUUAUCUCGGUAAGCCGAAGGCCGGGGUUCGACUCCCUGCAUUUGAU